rnacentral:ribozyme from 1 species
CCCAAUGUGCACUGGUAGGGUAUGGAUCCGAAGCCUCCAGAAGGAUAACAAAGGCUCUCCACACUCUUCUAUACUACACUAUCCCCGGCGUACAGCGCAUGUCUCUCCAAAUAUCUGGUCUUGGGUUUACGAGGAAACCCAACUCCUUGGGAGGAUGGGUGAUUUGGCUAAAUUGAGAGGA